AUACGUAGGUGGCAAGCGUUGUCCGGAAUUAUUGGGCGUAAAGCGCAUGUAGGCGGUUUGGUAAGUCGGUCGUGAAAAUGCGGUGCUUAACGCCGUAUGGCGAUGGAAACUGCUGAAAUUGAGGGCAGGAGAGGAAAGGGGAACUCCCAGUGUAGCGGUGCAAGGCGUAGAUAUUGGGAAGAACACCGGUGGCGAAGGCGCCUUUCUGGACUGUGUCUGACGCUCAGAUGCGAAAGCCAGGGUAGCGAACGGGAUUAGAUACCCCGGUAGUCCUGGCCGUAAACGAUGGGUACUAGGUGUGGGAGGUAUCGACUCCUUCCGUGCCGGAGUUAACGCAAUAAGUACCCCGCCUGGGGAGUACGGCCGCAAGGCUUAAACUCAAAGGAAUUGACGGGG
rnacentral:rRNA from 1 species